rnacentral:rRNA from 1 species
GACGAACGCUGGCGGCGUGCUUAACACAUGCAAGUCGAGCGGUAAGGCCCUUUCGGGGGUACACGAGCGGCGAACGGGUGAGUAACACGUGGGUGACCUGCCCUCAGCUCUGGGAUAAGCCUGGGAAACCGGGUCUAAUACUGGAUAUGACUCCAUGACGCAUGUUGUGGGGUGGAAAGCCUUGUGCGGCUGAGGAUGGGCCCGCGGCCUAUCAGCUUGUUGGUGGGGUGANGGCCUACCAAGGCGACGACGGGUAGCCGGCCUGGAGA